CCCGUCUUACGGAGAGCCUUGGCACUUCCUAUUAGCCCCAUUGUGUAUCAUCUAGGUUGCAGUUCCAUUAGAAUUCCACUGGAGGUGAUCGCGGGCGAGUGCAGAAUGAAUGGGAGUCUAUGGAGCUAAACGGCUAAAUUUGAUUCCGCAAGUUCAAUAUAGAUUAUAGGCCAAAAGUCGAAUAAACGAGUACUUAUGUCCUUUCGAUUUCUUACAGGUUAGGCCGUUGUUGGCUGGAACACGCUAGCAUUCUGCUAUUAUGUGACGUCAUCACAUUUUUGAAUGGAUUUUUAGAACAGAUAAGUGAACUUAAAAAUGCAAUUUUCCGCUGAGUGUAUUAUCUUAGCCCUCCCUUUUGAAUGCAACUUUCAAAUUACUUGACAAAAAAUUACAUCCUGAGAAAAGUGGAUUUCUGGGGGUGAAACCCCAUAGACUCCCAUUCAUUCUGCACUCGCCUGCGAGCGCCCCCGCAUGGAAAGAGACGUGUUACUACAGCCAGUCCAGUAACCGGAAGUAACCAGACAGUGCCAAUUCUCUUCAAUUAGACAUCCUCUG